ACUAGUUAGUGGGGGAGGUACAGGCCCACCAAGACAAUCAUACGUAGCCUACCUGGGAGGGUAAUCGGCCACAUUGGGACUGAGACACGGCCCAAACUCCUACGGGAGGCAGCAGUAAGGAAUCUUCCACAAUGGACGAAAGUCUGAUGGAGCAAUGCCGCGUGAGUGAAGAAGGGUUUCGGCUCGUAAAACUCUGUUGUUAAAGAAGAACACCUUUGAGAGUAACUGUUCAAGGGUUGACGGUAUUUAACCAGAAAGCCACGGCUAACUACGUGCCAGCAGCCGCGGUAAUACGUAGGUGGCAAGCGUUGUCCGGAUUUAUUGGGCGUAAAGCGAGCGCAGGCGGUUUUUUAAGUCUGAUGUGAAAGCCUUCGGCUUAACCGGAGAAGUGCAUCGGAAACUGGGAGACUUGAGUGCAGAAAAGGACAGUGGAACUCCAUGUGUGGCGGUGGAAUGCGUAUAUAUAUGGAAGAACACCAGUGGCGAAGGCGGCUGUCUAGUCUGUAACUGACGCUGAGGCUCGAAAGCGUGGGUAGCAAACAGGAUUAGAUACCCUGGUAGUCCACGCCGUAAACAAUGAGU
rnacentral:rRNA from 2 species